UGGGGAAUUUUGGACAAUGGGCGAAAGCCUGAUCCAGCAAUGCCGCGUGUGUGAAGAAGGCCUUCGGGUUGUAAAGCACUUUUGUCCGGAAAGAAAUCCUUGGCUCUAAUACAGUCGGGGGAUGACGGUACCGGAAGAAUAAGCACCGGCUAACUACGUGCCAGCAGCCGCGGUAAUACGUAGGGUGCAAGCGUUAAUCGGAAUUACUGGGCGUAAAGCGUGCGCAGGCGGUUUGCUAAGACCGAUGUGAAAUCCCCGGGCUCAACCUGGGAACUGCAUUGGUGACUGGCAGGCUAGAGUAUGGCAGAGGGGGGUAGAAUUCCACGUGUAGCAGUGAAAUGCGUAGAGAUGUGGAGGAAUACCGAUGGCGAAGGCAGCCCCCUGGGCCAAUACUGACGCUCAUGCACGAAAGGCGUGGGGAGCAAAGCAGGAUUAGAUACCCUGGUAGUCCACGCCCUAAACGAUGUCAACUAGUUGUUGGGGAUUCAUUCCUUAGUAACGUAGCUAACGCUGAAGUUGACCGCCUGGGGAGUACGGUCGCAAGAUUAAAACUUAAGGAAUUGACGGGGUCAUAGCCUGUUUCCU
rnacentral:rRNA from 1 species